rnacentral:lncRNA from 1 species
UGCAGCCAAAUCUCCCAGCUAGAUUACCAGGGAGUUCAGGAUUACACUUUCAAUGCCAAAUACACAUGUAUUGGAAAAGAAAUAGAUAAAUGGAUGACUAGGAAACACAGCAGAUUCAGCCUGCCUGUGGAGAAUAGAAAGAAAUGGUGAAUUGAAAACUUUCAGAGCCAGGGUUUGACAUCAGUAGAACAGAACAGAAGCAAAGAUCAGGGAACACUAGGAUUCUCUCAGCUCAAUGUGGACCAAAGAUCAUUGCAGACAAUGGCCUGAAGCCAAAAUCCUUUCUCAUUGCUGUGAAUCCUAGUGCUACAGAAAGAGGUCACUCACUGAACUUCACUGCCUUCUCUAUAAGGGAUUUCAAGACUCUCUGUCCUGUAGAGUGCUUGUAUAUUGAAGCCCUGCUUGUCUGAUUGUGGUUUGCUAGAGAAAAGAGCUGUAAAACAACCAAAAAAGCCCAACAACCCACAACCCAGCAACUAUUACAGUGAAAAUUACCAGACCAGACUACAUGGGA